CCGUGAUCCGCUUUUGUUCGCGGUGCAGCCAGGUCGGGGCUCUGUCCCGCGACUGCCCUUGCGGGGAACCAGGCACCACCAACAUCCGGCUUCAACCAGCCCGGGCCAACUACAACCUUGCGGAACAACGGGACGCCGCGACGCAGACAGACUUUCAACCGCUGCCGUGCCCUGCGUGCAACUACCAACUAGGGGCCUAAUAACCAACAAUACGACGCCGUUUAAAUCCGAAAUCCGUUUUGAAUCCGAAACCCAUUUUGAAUCCGAAAUCCGGUUUGUCUCCGGAACCGCCAACUAAAUAUCUGCUCUCCGCAUGAAUCAGUUCCGCCCCAAAAUUCCAAUUCCGUCCGUCAUUGUCAGCCGCCGUUCGUCAACCCAAGAGGUUAAGAAAAACCCAUUUAAUGGGUUUUUCUCCAAAGAAGAAGGGGUGUGUAACAAAGUUACUAAAAACCGCCAAUGGGAAACAACCGUAGGCAACCAGCUGUUAAUUAAACCGGUUUGCGGAGGCUAACUCUAGGCAACCAUUUGAGAUUUUUCACUUGGCUCUCCCCACUCUUUUUACUGUCAAACAUCAGCUGUUUUUUGACACGGGUAGGAUCAUGGUGUAGGAUUCUCGCGGAUACCGGCUUAGUUUUUUAAUUUUUUUAGUAAAUUCAGUGCUAAACAUGUUCUUAAAUUUGGGCACCGUGUUUACAUAUUUAAAUGCAAGUCCCGGGAGUCGGUGUUUCGUUGAAGGGAAAGCCGUUUUAAAUGCGGGUCAUCUAAUUUCAUGUGGGAUGAUUAAGGAAGAGGAGCUGCAGGAGUCUGUGAAAAAAUGGAAAAUUAAGGCUUAUUGCCUACAAAGCAGUGCCAUUAAGUCAGACCGACAUCAAAUUUUGGGAUUAUUGGUUGCCAAUGGCACAAACAGUGUUAACGUGGACCAGAUUAAGUGCAGUUGUAAAGCUGGAGUUUCUGGAUGUUGCAAACAUGUGGCUGCUACACUUCUUUUCUGCACCAGGUUGUAUUGUAACAUGUGUACUAAAUGGCCUAUCACUGCCUGUUGCAAUUUUAUUAAAGGCUACAUAAAUUUUUACUUUUAAGUUUUUUACUGUCGUGUUUUUUUUUUAGGAAACCAAUAGACGAGAUACCUCAACUGUCCUACACCGACACUGAAUGUGUUUGGAAAAACAAGAGGCCCCGAGUCGAAAAGCAGUAUGAGGCUACACCACUUCACCUUACCAAGUGUUACGCCACUAAAGUUAAACAUAAAAAUGUAGCAAAUUUGUCUGAUACAUUGACUGCAAAGUUAUUAAAAGACGCUCUUCAGGUUGUCCCAAAUUCCAAAUAUAGCUUACAAUUCAAAGGACGCCGACGGUAACUUAAUAUAAGACCAAAUGAACCUUCUGAACUUUCUGAAUCUUUAAUUCCCGAUUAUAUCAACAAAAUACUGGAAAACGCUAGGCGAUCCCCCAUCACAUUAAAAAAUUUAGACGAAAGCAAUUUGCGACCUUGUUCUAAAGAACAACUAAUAUUCUUUGUGAAGGACGAUAUUUUAAAAGCAAUGUGCUGCGAGCAAGGUUCGCAAGACUGGAAAUUUUUAAGAAAAAAUCGUUUAACUGGAUCCACCUGCCAUUCAAUUUUUACAUUUAAAAAACUGGAUUGGACAAUAAAAUUAAAUUUUUUUUUUAACCCCCUAUGAUACGCACCAAAGAAAUGCGACAUAGGUUCGAAAACGAGACAUUAGCUCGAAAUGCUUUUAAAAAAAAAUCCUGAAUGUGAUAUCAAAGAAAUGAGAAUGUUAAUUAGCAAGGAGUACCCAUGGCUGUCAUAUUCUCCAGACGGGGUAAUUUUUUGCCAUGAAAAACCUCAAAGACUUUUAGAGAUAAAAUGUCCAUAUUUAGGUAAAAGCAAGUCAGCAUUAGAAGUUAUUCCCUCAUUAUCAUAUUUAGAUAAAAAAGAUAACCACCUUAAAGAAAACCACUCAUACUUUAGUCAAAUUCAAUUUGGAAUGGCAUUAUUAAAUUUGACGUCUUGUGAUGUUGUUAUCUAUUUUUCAAAAGAUGAAAGUUAUUUGCAUAUAAACGUGCCUUUUAACCCUGACUUUGCAGAAAAUAUGUUAACAAUUUCCAGCAAGAAUUUUCAAAAUAUGAUACACUUUCUUUGUGAUUAGUCUCAAAUAUAUUUUA